rnacentral:rRNA from 1 species
GAUGAACGCUGGCGGCGUGCCUAAUACAUGCAAGUCGAGCGAACAGAUGAGGAGCUUGCUCCUCUGACGUUAGCGGCGGACGGGUGAGUAACACGUGGAUAACCUACCUAUAAGACUGGGAUAACUUCGGGAAACCGGAGCUAAUACCGGAUAAUAUAUUGAACCGCAUGGUUCAAUAGUGAAAGACGGUUUUGCUGUCACUUAUAGAUGGAUCCGCGCCGCAUUAGCUAGUUGGUAAGGUAACGGCUUACCAAGGCAACGAUGCGUAGCCGACCUGAGAGGGUGAUCGGCCACACGAGAACUGAGACACGGUCCAGACUCCUGCGGGAGGCAGCAGUAGGGAAUCUUCCGCAAUGGGCGAAAGCCUGACGGAGCAACGCCGCGUGAGUGAUGAAGGUCUUCGGAUCGUAAAACUCUGUUAUUAGGGAAGAACAAAUGUGUAAGUAACUAUGCACGUCUUGACGGUACCUAAUCAGAAAGCCACGGCUAACUACGUG